UUAACAUUAGCAAUUUGAAGCUCAAUCUGCUCAAGUAUACUGGCAGGGUCCAUGUUUCCAGAUUCUAUGGCUUCAACAGCAUAUUCUUCUACUGAUCAGUUUGCUUAUAUUCUCACUAAAGGCCUUUCCACUCCUUUAUUUCGGCGUCUCUGUUCCAAUCUUAUGCUUGGUUCCUCCAAGCAUAUGAUUGCGGGGGAAUGUCAAGAUAUCAAAGGCUCUGCUUCAGCCACCUCUGCUUCAGCCACCUGUCAAAGAGAAUAGAGAAUAUAAUAGUUAGCAAGUUUGUUAAUAUGGUUAGACAGUUAAUGAAUUCUGUUACUAUUGAGUAGAAUACGUAACCAAGCUUCUCACCUUCUGUUGAUAUAAAAUGAAUGUAA
rnacentral:lncRNA from 1 species